rnacentral:rRNA from 1 species
UACGUAGGGGGCGAGCGUUGUUCGGAAUUAUUGGGCGUAAAGGGUGCGUAGGCGGCCUGUUAAGUGUGUUCGUCAAACCUGGGGCUUACCCUCAGGGCUUGAACGCAAACUGCCGGGCUAGAGUCCGCGAGGGGUAGGUGGAAUUCCUGGUGUAGCAGUGAAAUGUAUAGAUAUCAGGAGGAACACCCGUGGCGAAGGCGACCUGCUGGCGCUGGACUGACGCUGAAGCACGAAAGCUGGGGGAUCAAACAGG